rnacentral:rRNA from 1 species
CCUACGGGAGGCAGCAGUGAGGAAUAUUUGUCAAUGGACGCAAGUCUGAACCAGCCAUGCCGCGUGCAGGAAGACGGCUCUAUGAGUUGUAAACUGCUUUUGUACGAGGGUAAAUCCCGAUACGUGUAUCGGGUUGAAAGUAUCGUACGAAUAAGGAUCGGCUAACUCCGUGCCAGCAGCCGCGGUAAUACGGAGGAUUCAAGCGUUAUCCGGAUUUAUUGGGUUUAAAGGGUGCGUAGGCGGUUCGAUAAGUUAGAUGGGAAAUCCCGAGGCUCAACUUCGGAAUUGCCUGUGAUACUGUUCGGCUAGAGAGUAGUUGCGGUAGGCGGAAUGUAUGGUGUAGCGGUGAAAUGCUUAGAGAUCAUACAGAACACCGAUUGCGAAGGCAGCUUACCAAGCUACUUCUGACGUUGAGGCACGAAAGCGUGGGGAGCAAACAGGAUUAGAUACCCGGGUAGUC